rnacentral:rRNA from 1 species
CCCAGACUCCUACGGGAGGCAGCAGUAAGGGAUAUUGGUCAAUGGGGGAAACCCUGAACCAGCAACGCCGCGUGAAGGAAGACGGUUUUCGGAUUGUAAACUUCUGUUCUUAGUGAAGAAUAAUGACGGUAACUAAGGAGCAAGCCACGGCUAACUACGUGCCAGCAGCCGCGGUAAUACGGAGGAUGCGAGCGUUAUCCGGAUUUAUUGGGUUUAAAGGGUGCGCAGGCGGAAGCGCAAGUCAGCGGUAAAAUGGGGGGCCUCAACCUCUCCCCGCCGUUGAAACUGCGUUUCUUGAGUGGGCGAGAAGUACGCGGAAUGCGUGGUGUAGCGGUGAAAUGCAUAGAUAUCACGCAGAACUCCGAUUGCGAAGGCAGCGUACCGGCGCCCAACUGACGCUCAUGCACGAAAGCGUGGGUAUCGAACAGGAUUAGAUACCCUUGUA